UACGUAGGGUGCAGGCGUUAAUCGGAAUUACUGGGCGUAAAGCGUGUGCAGGCGGUGAUGUAAGACAGUUGUGAAAUCCCCGGGCUCAACCUGGGAACUGCAUCUGUGACUGCAUCGCUGGAGUGCGGCAGAGGGGGAUGGAAUUCCGCGUGUAGCAGUGAAAUGCGUAGAUAUGCGGAGGAACACCGAUGGCGAAGGCAAUCCCCUGGGCCUGCACUGACGCUCAUGCACGAAAGCGUGGGGAGCAAACAGG
rnacentral:rRNA from 1 species